UUUAAACGUAGUCAUGAUCAGUUUUCAUGUCCAACUUUGAUCGUCUGUUUAAUUUAAAAUUUUUUAGAUCGGUAUUUUUAUUGUAAUUAUAUGAUAAAAUAUGAAUAUUACUUUAUACGUGACUUAUGUUUUUAUUUUUUAAAAAAAGAAAUUAAAUAAGCCAAAAGAUUAAAGUUAGAAAAAAAACUUAAUUAUAACGACACUUAAA
rnacentral:pre_miRNA from 1 species